rnacentral:rRNA from 1 species
GACGAACGCUGGCGGCGUGCUUAACACAUGCAAGUCGAGCGGUAAGGCCCUUUCGGGGGUACACGAGCGGCGAACGGGUGAGUAACACGUGGGUGACCUGCCCUUAGCUCUGGGAUAAGCCUGGGAAACUGGGUCUAAUACCGGAUAUGACUCCAUGACGCAUGUUGUGGGGUGGAAAGCCUUGUGCGGCUAGGGAUGGGCCCGCGGCCUAUCAGCUUGUUGGUGGGGUGAUGGCCACCAAGGCGACGACGGGUAGCCGGCCUGAGAGGGCGACCGGCCACACUGGGACUGAGACACGGCCCAGACUCCUACGGGAGGCAGCAGUGGGGAAUCUUGCGCAAUGGGCGAAAGCCUGACGCAGCGACGCCGCGUGGGGAUGACGGCCUC